UGGAUUUGACACUGAGGACCUUGUGGUUAACGCUAGAUACUGGUAAAAGGGCAGCACGAACCGUAAAGGUUACUUGAAAGAAUUUUGUGAUCUUGGGAACAUGGGAACACUACUGUACAUUUCUGUGAGGUGGCUGAGUUUGGACAUCUGCAUCAACUGCAUUCUGCAGCAGUAUGGCCCUCUCACCAGCUACUUCAAAUCUUUAAAUGAGAAACAACCAAGGUUCGAAGGCUGGCGAAGGCAUUUUCCGAUCCCCUGACGGACGUCUACCUCCUGUUCCUUCAGGCCACAUUGCCAGUGUUGUCUAAACUGAACCUCCUUCUCCAGAGAGAAAAGGCAUCUAUAUUCCAGUGGCAUGAAGAGGUGAACGGGAGGGAACAAGGACAUGUAGGGAGGCUCUGUGUGUACCAAAAUUAACCUAUUGACGCAGACUGUGGUGGCAGCUGCUAGACAUAGCAGCUGCUAGGAUAAUGUACUGAAUAACAUGGUGUACCAGAUUAGGCAAAAUUGCCAGAAAUUGGAAAAGUACGGACAGGGGCGGGGGGCUGCUUGUAGAAGGGUAUAAGAUACACAUGAAUAGUAAGGAAGUUGAACUCUGUUGGGAUACGGUGUAUCACAGACUUCCCAGAUCGAUCUGUUGGAAUAAAUGGAAUAAAAGGUUAUUGGAAUAAAUGGUUAUUGGAUUAUCUCAUCCACGCCUCCAGGUGAUCUCUUCUCAUCUACGGACCCGGUGGAGUUGGUGUACUCCAACAUGGGCUGUUUGGCUAUGUUGGU